UACGUAGGUGGCAAGCGUUGUCCGGAAUUAUUGGGCGUAAAGCGCGCGCAGGCGGUCCUUUAAGUCUGAUGUGAAAUCCCACGGCUCAACCGUGGAAGGUCAUUGGAAACUGGGGGACUUGAGUACAGAAGAGGAAAGCGGAAUUCCAAAGUGUAGCGGUGAAAUGCGUAGAGAUUUGGAGGAACACCAGUGGCGAAGGCGGCUUUCUGGUCUGUAACUGACGCUGAGGCGCGAAAGCGUGGGGGAGCAAACAGG
rnacentral:rRNA from 1 species